GGCCAGGCCCCGUGCAGUGGGAGCCUGCGAACCGCGUCAGAUCCGGGAGGAAGCAGCGCUAAGUAGUCCCUCUCAGGUGUGCGGGUCGCCUGGUCCCU
rnacentral:SRP_RNA from 1 species